rnacentral:pre_miRNA from 1 species
UUCGUCCCGGAGUUCGUAUCAGGAGUGUGUUUGCAAAGAAUAUGACAAAUUUUGCGUUAUUGCAAAGUUGAAACUGUAAAUGCACUAUCUGGUACGACACCCCGGGGCGU